AUACUACUUCCUCCGUUCUGAAUUACUCGUCAGAGAAAUGGAUGUUCUAGAUAUAUUUUAGUUCUAGAUAUAUCCAUUUCUACGACGAGUAAUUUGGAACGGAGGAAGUACUAG
rnacentral:pre_miRNA from 1 species